AGAAAUAUGUCUGAUUAAAGAGUUACUUUGAUAGAGUAAAUAAAAGAGGUUUAAAUCCUCUUAUUUCUA
rnacentral:tRNA from 2 species